CGUAGGUGGCAAGCGUUGUCCGGAAUUAUUGGGCGUAAAGCGCGCGCAGGCGGUCCUUUAAGUCUGAUGUGAAAGCCCACGGCUCAACCGUGGAGGGUCAUUGGAAACUGGGGGACUUGAGUACAGAAGAGAAGAGUGGAAUUCCACGUGUAGCGGUGAAAUGCGUAGAGAUGUGGAGGAACACCAGUGGCGAAGGCGACUCUCUGGUCUGUAACUGACGCUGAGGCGCGAAAGCGUGGGGAGCAAACAGGAUUAGAUACCCUGGUAGUCCACGCUGUAAACGAUGAGUGCUAAGUGUUAGAGGGUUUCCGCCCUUUAGUGCUGCAGCUAACGCAUUAAGCACUCCGCCUGGGGAGUACGGCCGCAAGGCUG
rnacentral:rRNA from 1 species